rnacentral:rRNA from 1 species
AUAGAACGCUGGCGGCAUGCCUUACACAUGCAAGUCGAACGGUAACAGGUCUUCGGAUGCUGACGAGUGGCGAACGGGUGAGUAAUGCAUCGGAACGUGCCCGAGAGUGGGGGAUAACGAGGCGAAAGCUUUGCUAAUACCGCAUACGAUCUUAGGAUGAAAGCAGGGGACCGCAAGGCCUUGCGCUCACGGAGCGGCCGAUGGCAGAUUAGGUAGUUGGUGGGAUAAAAGCUUACCAAGCCGACGAUCUGUAGCUGGUCUGAGAGGACGACCAGCCACACUGGGACUGAGACACGGCCCAGACUCCUACGGGAGGCAGCAGUGGGGAAUUUUGGACAAUGGGCGCAAGCCUGAUCCAGCCAUGCCGCGUGCAGGAUAAAGGCCUUCGGGUUGUAAACUGCUUUUGUACGGAACGAAAAGACUCUGGUUAAUACCUGGGGUCCAUGACGGUACCGUAAGAAUAAGCACCGGCUAACUACGUGCCAGCCGCCGCAGUAA